rnacentral:rRNA from 1 species
UACGUAGGGUGCAAGCGUUAAUCGGAAUUACUGGGCGUAAAGCGUGCGCAGGCGGUUUUGCAAGACAGAUGUGAAAUCCCCGGGCUCAACCUGGGAAUUGCAUUUGUGACUGCACGGCUAGAGUGUGUCAGAGGGGGGUAGAAUUCCACGUGUAGCAGUGAAAUGCGUAGAGAUGUGGAGGAAUACCGAUGGCGAAGGCAGCCCCCUGGGAUAACACUGACGCUCAUGCACGAAAGCGUGGGGAGCAAACGGG